AGUGAGCGCUGGCGGUAGGCCUAACACAUGCAAGUCGAACGGCAGCACAGUAAGAGCUUGCUCUUACGGGUGGCGAGUGGCGGACGGGUGAGGAAUACAUCGGAAUCUACUUUUUCGUGGGGGAUAACGUAGGGAAACUUACGCUAAUACCGCAUACGACCUACGGGUGAAAGCAGGGGAUCUUCGGACCUUGCGCGAUUGAAUGAGCCGAUGUCGGAUUAGCUAGUUGGCGGGGUAAAGGCCCACCAAGGCGACGAUCCGUAGCUGGUCUGAGAGGAUGAUCGGCCACACUGGAACUGAGACACGGUCCAGACUCCUACGGGAGGCAGCAGUGGGGAAUAUUGGACAAUGGGCGCAAGCCUGAUCCAGCCAUGCCGCGUGGGUGAAGAAGGCCUUCGGGUUGUAAAGCCCUUUUGUUGGGAAAGAAAAGCAGCAGGUUAAUACCCCGCUGUUCUGACGGUACCCAAAGAAUAAGCACCGGCUAACUUCGUG
rnacentral:rRNA from 1 species